UGUAUUAUCCCCGCGUGUAGACUACUUUCGCUCCCCACUUGGUCACACUGACAGUCGGCGUUACGCCGCAGCGCUGCCUGCGUCGCUGCCGCCGCGAAAAGCUGCCCUCGAAACGAAAGAAAUUCAACCCGUAAAGUCAAUUGCCAAAAAGCUCGCCUCGCGCGCGGUCGACGGGAGAGUGGAUGAGCGGACGCUUUCUCUUUACUCUGUUACCUUUCUCCAUUACCAUUGACGACGCUGCGUGCGCGUCUCCCGCAAGAAACAACAACAACAGCGAGAAGGAGCCGCAAAUUGCACGGUGCAUAAAUAAAACAAACGAAAAUAUAUUAUGCAGCGAGAAUUUACGCUUACAACAAACGAUAAAAACCCGAAUACGAGUGAUGACAGUCGAAAGAAAUAGUAGUACUACUUAAAUUGCGGCACAAGACGUAAACAAAAUCGUGUGUUAAUUUAAUGGGAAAAGAAGUACAAGAACAAGAACAACAUGGGGACGCCGACGUCGACAGCGACGCCGGCAGAGACGUCGAGACAUUUCGAAUUUCUUUGGAUGCUGAUGGACUAACGGUUCUUUAGUGGUUGUUCCUUCUAUGUACAGUGUGUGUGCGUGUCUGUUGGUGUGUGUAAAUUGGAAAAACAGCAAAAACUGAAUGUGCAACAUAAGCAAAGCAGCGUGAAGUAAAAACCAUAAAAUAUAUAUAAAGAAGCGGGGAAUCGGAGAAAAGCGUUAACCGAAGCCAAGAAAAAUUAAAACCAACCGAAAACCAACAUCAAAAGUUGCCAACUUUUUGUUCGACCGCAGCAGCCAAAGAAGCAGCGGCGUCAGCAGCGACGCCCGCCUGCAGCCAGCGUCGCGCUGGCAACAACAAAUUGCGCUGUCUUUAGUAAAUUCAUAUAUGCAUUCGGCCAUCGAAAAUGGUAAUUUGGAAAUAAAACGCACGUGGCUAUGGUCGGUCGCAAGAUUGGAUCAUCAUUUUCCUGCGUGUAUGCAAGGUGGGUGGCAAUUUUCGGGGGUGGAAAUGGGAAACUGGGAGUCGCAGUGAGGCAGUGAGCCGCCAGUCCAAAACUCAGCCGUAGUCGUUGAUUUUUCCGUCGCCGGUAUGUGUAGCUGUUUCUGCGGCUGUCCAUGUCCAAGCAUUUCAUUUUUCCUAUCCCCCAUAAAACUUGCGUGGCCCGUGCUCUUCGGGGGUUAGUUAUUUUUGGGGACGACAACCGCAGCAGUAACAGCAACAGCAGCAGCAGCCCUCUGAACUGCGAAGGAGGAUUCUCGAUUCUCGACGAAGGAUAGCGAAUAUGUGCAGUUUUCUGGGUCGCUGUCUCUGGAGUUGGCUGUACUGUUCCAAAGCUGGAGGAUGGUACACAGCCCACGGCUGCGAUGACAUCCAGAAAACGGAAAGAAUGAGCCGAUAAAUCUUCGCGGAACCACAAAGACCUGUUUGGCGGAGUUCUGCUUGUAAUAAAUAACUUAAAAUAGAUUUUAUACUAAAUGUAAUUCCCACCUUUAAA